AUUGAACGCUGGCGGCAGGCUUAACACAUGCAAGUCGAGCGGGGUGAUGGUGCUUGCACUAUCACUUAGCGGCGGACGGGUGAGUAAUGCUUAGGAAUCUGCCUAUUAGUGGGGGACAACAUCUCGAAAGGGAUGCUAAUACCGCAUACGUCCUACGGGAGAAAGCAGGGGAUCACUUGUGACCUUGCGCUAAUAGAUGAGCCUAAGUCGGGUUAGCUAGUUGGUGGGGUAAAGGCCUACCAAGGCGACGAUCUGUGGCGGGUCUGAGAGGAUGAUCCGCCACACUGGGACUGAGACACGGCCCAGACUCCUACGGGAGGCAGCAGUGGGGAAUAUUGGAAAAUGGGGGGAACCCUGAUCCAGCCAUGCCGCGUGUGUGAAGAAGGCCUUAUGGUUGUAAAGCACUUUAAGCGAGGAGGAGGCUCUUUUGGUUAAUACCCAAGAUGAGUGGACGUUACUCGCAGAAUAAGCACCGGCUAGCUCUGUGCCAGCCGCCGCUGUAA
rnacentral:rRNA from 1 species